rnacentral:tRNA from 1 species
GGCCUGUUCGCUCAGCUGGUUAGAGCGUGGUGCUAAUAACGCCAAGGUCGUGGGAUCGAUCCCCACAUGGGCCA